CCAAUGUCAUAAAUGCUUUUCUUAAAAUUUUCCGCGUAGGUGAUCUGUGUACAUUAUUACAAAAGUUCUGUACGGAGCUGUGAGAAUUUUAAGAAAAGCAUUUAUGACAUUGGGUUUGUUUUUUUUUUUUUUUGAGGCUCGUAGAGAGAGGAACUCGUGCCAUAAUGGAACUUGAGUUGCUGUGCAGUGGUUUUUGAACUUUCAGGCCUUUGUUUGAGCUCAUAUUUGUGAACUUCCUCACGGUGAUACUGUAUA
rnacentral:misc_RNA from 1 species